AUUGGUGACGAGUCCCAAAUAGGACGAAAUGCGCAUCCAGGAU
rnacentral:hammerhead_ribozyme from 1 species